rnacentral:rRNA from 1 species
CAGGACGAACGCUGGCGGCGUGCUUAACACAUGCAAGUCGAACGAUGAUGCCCAGCUUGCUGGGUUGAUUAGUGGCGAACGGGUGAGUAACACGUGAGUAACCUGCCCCUGACUCUGGGAUAAGCGUUGGAAACGACGUCUAAUACUGGAUAUGAUCGCCGGCCGCAUGGUCUGGUGGUGGAAAGAUUUUUUGGUUGGGGAUGGACUCGCGGCCUAUCAGCUUGUUGGUGAGGUAAUGGCUCACCAAGGCGACGACGGGUAGCCGGCCUGAGAGGGUGACCGGCCACACUGGGACUGAGACACGGCCCAGACUCCUACGGGAGGCAGCAGUGGGGAAUAUUGCACAAUGGGCGAAAGCCUGAUGCAGCAACGCCGCGUGAGGGAUGACGGCCUUCGGGUUGUAAACCUCUUUUAGUAGGGAAGAAGCGAAAGUGACGGUACCUGCAGAAAAAGCACCGGCUAACUACGUGCCAGCAGCCGCGGUAAUACGUAGGGUGCAAGCGUUGUCCGGAAUUAUUGGGCGUAAAGAGCUCGUAGGCGGUUUGUCGCGUCUGCUGUGAAAUCCCGAGGCUCAACCUCGGGCUUGCAGUGGGUACGGGCAGACUAGAGUGCGGUAGGGGAGAUUGGAAUUCCUGGUGUAGCGGUGGAAUGCGCAGAUAUCAGGAGGAACACCGAUGGCGAAGGCAGAUCUCUGGGCCGUAACUGACGCUGAGGAGCGAAAGCAUGGGGAGCGAACAGGAUUAGAUACCCUGGUAGUCCAUGCCGUAAACGUUGGGCGCUAGAUGYAGGGACCUUUCCACGGUUUCUGUGUCGUAGCUAACGCAU